rnacentral:tRNA from 1 species
GUGGCUCAGUGAUAGAGCUCCUGCUUCGUAUGUGGAAGGACCUGGGUUCGAUUCCCGGC